UGCAGCCAUAGCCAUAUCACCUUGCAGCCCAAGACCGGUUACUCGCUGAAGCUAAGCAGGUCUUAGCCUGGUCAGUACCUGCAUGCGAGACCACAUGGAAAAACUAGGUUGCUGCUGUAC
rfam:Danio rerio chromosome 21, GRCz11 reference primary assembly.